UAUUGGAAGCUUGCUUCCGAUAGGCGUCGACCGGCGCACGGGUGAGUAACACGUAUCCAACCUUCCGUUUACUCAGGGAUAGCCUUUCGAAAGAAAGAUUAAUACCUGAUAGUAUGGUGAGAUUGCAUGAUAGCACCAUUAAAGAUUUAUUGGUAAACGAUGGGGAUGCGUUCCAUUAGGUAGUAGGCGGGGGUAACGGCCCACCUAGCCGACGAUGGAUAGGGGUUCUGAGAGGAAGGUCCCCCACAUUGGAACUGAGACACGGUCCAAACUCCUACGGGAGGCAGCAGUGAGGAAUAUUGGUCAAUGGGCGAGAGCCUGAACCAGCCAAGUAGCGUGAAGGAUGAAGGUCCUACGGAUUGUAAACUUCUUUUAUACGGGAAUAAAGUAUCCUACGUGUAGGAUUUUGUAUGUACCGUAUGAAUAAGCAUCGGCUAACUCCGUG
rnacentral:rRNA from 1 species